GGAAAAAAGAAGGUUGUUUUCUUUUGGCUUUUCGUGAACUGGUCUCGUUUUGUUUUCCCCCCAACCUGGAAUUUGAGAAAGUAGAGGAAGAGCCUCCAGAAAUUUUCAAAAUACAAUAGUUGGUGGGUAAGGGUGACUUGUUAUUCAGCUUAAUCGAAGAUAUACUAUGUCGGUGGACUCAGAACCAGCCCAUUUAGAACAAGAAGAAGAAGUCGAAGAAGAAGUUGAUGCACCGGCACAUCACCCUUAUGCUCCGCCUGAUGAGUUAUUUGACAUCUCAACUACAGUUGAUCCUAGUUAUAUAAUCUCUCUGAUACGGAAGCUUCUACCAACUGAUGCCAGUAAUAACGGCAAUAGUCAUGGUUUUGAUGUGUGCAUUGGUCAAGUAGCAAAUACUGAUCAUGUGGAAGGAAGUGCGGCUUCUGUGUCUGGACAAGAAGUUUCGAACUUGUCAGACCAUAAAUCUGAGAGCAUGGACAUUGUUGAGGAUUGUGGUAAACAUGCUCAACUAGAAGAAGAGGAUGAGGAGUCGUGCCAUAGAUUUGAUCGGCCUAGUGUUUCAGCAGGAGAAGAGGCUUGGGAAGAGUGUGGUUGCAUUUUGUGGGAUCUUGCUGCAAGUAAAGCUAAUGCAGAACUCAUGGUACAAAACCUUAUACUUGAAGUACUUUCAGCAAACCUUAUGGUUUCCCAAUCAGUGCGUGUUAAGGAAAUUAGCCUUGGAAUUAUUGGAAACCUUGCCUGCCAUGAAGCUCUGUUGAAGCAUAUAGUUUCUACAAAUAGAUUGAUUGAGAUAGUUGUGGAUCAACUAUUCUUAGAAGAUUCUCAGUGCCUUUCUGAAGCUUGCCGGUUGUUAUCUUUGGGUAUUCAAAGUAGUGAAUGCAUUACAUGGGCUGAAGCAUUGCAGUCUGAACAUGUUAUAUACCAUAUUUUAUGGAUUGUGGAAAAUACUCUAAAUCUCCAGCUUGUUGAAAAGAGUGUUGGACUAUUAUUAGCCAUCAUCGAAAGUCAGCCAGAAGUUUUGCAUGUUCUUCUUCCACCUUUGAUGAAGCUAGGUUUACCAAGUUUAUUGGUUAAUCUCUUGACUUUUGAGAUGAGCAAAUUAAUGAGUGAAAGAAUACCUGAAAGGUACUCAAUUCUUGAUGUGGUUUUCCGUGCAAUUGAAGCUCUUUCUGCUUUAGAUGGUCAUUCUCAAGAAAUCUGUUCAAAUAAGGAACUUUUCAAACUAGCUUGUGACAUGGUCAAACUCCCUGACAAAGUUGAGGUUGCCAACUCUUGUGUUACUGCUGCAGUACUAAUUGCAAAUAUUCUUUCUGAAGUAACUGAUUUAGCUUCGGAGCUAUCAGAGGAUUUUCCAUUCUUACAGGGGCUGCUUGAUGUGUUUCCUUUUGCCUCGGAUGAUUUAGAAGCACAGAGUGCACUCUGGAGUAUUAUUGCAAGGAUACUGGUUCAAGUUCAGGAAAAUGAGAUGAAUAGAUCAAGUUUAUUUCAAUAUGUUUCAGUUCUUGUAGGCAAAUCUGAUCUGAUUGAAGAUGAGCUUCUCGACUGCCAAUCAGAUGACUUAAGCAAAGGACACGAGGGCUUGACCACCUCUUGCACAAAAUCAAAUGCUAGAACUACAGCUGUUAGAAGGAUAAUCAGUAUUUUAAAUCAAUGGACUGCUUCAAAGGAUUCUGCUGUAGAGAAUAAUAUGAAGGGAAAACUUCUUGCAGAUAAUGACAAUAUCAAUAGAUUGUUGGAUUGCUGUCAUAAAUAUCUGAGUUCUUUUUUAUGGCAACCAAUUUGGAAGUCCAAGGUUCCAAAGAAGUAGCCUUUUUGCUUGGACAGUGGUUCAUGGCAAAGUUCUAACAGUGGGUAAUCUUUGCGCAAGAUCAUCAUUGUUUACUGGUGUUGUAUGUGCAAAGUGACUGGGGAGUUGAUCAAUCACCUCUUGAUGCAUUGCAUUAUUCUAAGGACUUUGGUCUCUCAUUUGGUGUGAUGGCAAGUGCCUUCCGUCCAUAGCAACUUGUUGCGGGUUUGAGUCUAGGAAUCAACCUCUCCAAAAAAAUAAUGGAGGUAAGAUGGCCUACCAAUCACCUCUCCCAGAUCCUGCAGAAGCGGGAGCUUUGUGCACUAGAUUCUCUGCAUCAUGCUUUGGGGAAUAAUCUUUCUUGAAAGUGUCAUAAUUGUGAUCUACUUUUGAGAUGUAUGUCCCAUACAAUUACAGCAGACUCCUGCACAGAAUAUUGCUAGGAGGAACACCAUUCUGGAUCCUGCAAGGAAUGUGGGAAUUUCAGCUGUCAUUACAACAAUGCAAAAAUUCAAUUUAUGCCUUGUACAUCAAAACGAUGAUCUGAUGAGCCCAGCCAGCUAACAUUGCUCCAGCCCCCCUUUAGCAAGGUAGAUUUUCUGAUAGAAAUCAAGUGGAUCUUUGAUGUGACCUUGGGGAAAUUGCAUGUAGAUAAAGGCAUGUCAUCAGAAACAUUUGCUUGCUUAAUGCACUUCACUGGCAAAAGAAAGGGCUUGGGGCGGAUGGGUUGCCGUGGUUAGUUAAGUGCUGCCCUUCUAGUACUUCUGCUUGAAUCAAAUCAGAGUUACUUAAGCCUGGUUGAAACAUGAAUCAAUAGUACGACAGGGAUGGCUUGUGAUGGUUGAUAAUGUGCUGCCCUUCUAGCUGUUCUCCUUGUAUCAAAACACAGAUAAUUUAAGCUUUGUUGUAGCAUGAUACAACUCUCUAAUUCAUGGUACACAUUAGUUGGCAACCACAAAACAUUUUGUUAGGACAGAACAUUGUAAAAAGAGUGAGCAUUAAGUUUUCAAGGUUUGAUUUGUUUCA